AGGAGACUAAGGUCAUUCAGAUGCCAAAAGAAAGGCAGAAGGGGCAGCAGCAGGGCAGAGUGGAUAGCAUCUGGACUUUGGAGCUAGAAGCCACUGGUGUACUGUGUGCCACCUCAGCGGCUCAGUCCCCGUGUGGUUGCAGCAACCCUUGGGGCCUUAUUGAGCAAAGCACUGCAGUUGCAACCAGGGAGAGGAGUGCGGCAGCCCACACAGUCCCCGGCUGAGAACGAGUCUGACACUGGACCCUGCCGCCGGUGUGGACAGCACUGGGUCCUGGGGAGGAAGUGCUGCAGAGGGGAAGAGGCGGCCUCGCCCAAGCCCUCUGCUGGGUGGAGAUCACAGACAGCCAGAAAGGGGGAAGAACAGGAGGACUGUGCUGGAGAGACCUGGUCCCUCUGCACUUUCUCCCAGGUCCUAGCAAGUCAUCAAAACAGCGGGUGCCGCAUGGACGCCCUGUGCUGCCCUUCACGGUGUGCCAGGCCCAACCACCCACCCUGGGAGGCAGGUUAUGUUAUCCUCCCAUUUGACAGAUGAGGAAAGGAAGACCGAGAGAGAGAAAGUCACUUGUCCGAGGUCCCCAGUGGGAAGUGGGUAAAACGGGAUACCCACACCCAGGUCUGCCUGGUAUGUAGCCACAACAUAGGGUUGGUGGAGCUACAGUCUAGGUAGAGAGAAGAAGGCCCUGUCUGUGGCCAGGGUCGGGGCUGAGUCUGUAACUGGGAAGGCACCCCAGGGAGGAGCAUGCUCAGCAGGAAGUGGACAGAGUAGGGGCAUGGAGGAAGGAGCACCAGCCAUGUGUCUCCAGUCAGGAAAGCCUCCUGGAGGAGGCAGUGAAGGGGGAAGAGGAGGAGAGGAGGGCCUUGCCAGCAGCCUGAGCACUGGUAAUGAAGCAGGGCCCCAGCCUCUUGGCUGGCCAGUGAACACUUCCAAGAACCUUCAUACUUAAUACCUCUAUCACUCCUCCACUCAACAGGUGAGGAAACAUCAGUCCAGUGAGAGUGGCAUGUGUGGGGAGGAGCCCAGGCUUGCUCUGACCUCUCUCUGGGGCCCCCCACUCCAGAAGGUUGGAACAGCAUUCUACAGCAUUCCAGGAUGUGGAGGGGGCAGCAGUGUUUGUGUGCAGAGUGGCGAGGCCGACCUCCGAUGAGCUUCCCGUAGGAAGGGUGCAGUGGGGGGUGCUCACCCUGCCCAGGGAUGCUAUCUGCUCCAGGACUUGUUUAUCAGCCCACGGGGUGAUCGGCAUGACAUCAAUGGAUAUGCCAGGCUGCAGGCUACAGUGCCGAGAAGGAGAAGACGGAGGCGGUGGUGAUGUCACCCAAGGAAUUAAGUAAGCAGGGGAGCUGAUAACAUCGUCCAGCCAGGCUCACUGUGGGCAGGGUGACUCACUGAAGACGGCCUGCGAUCGCCAGGUGAUUGUUGUUGUGCCCAGCCUGUGGGGCUGGGGAGGAGGAAGGGGGGCAGGCCACAGAGCUGUGACAAGUUCCUCACCGAGGCCCCUGCUCAGGGGAGAGACCUCAGUACACAGUGUCCUCCACCUCUGAGCCCGGGGCUGGCUCAGGAAACAGCCCCCCUCUGCCUGUGCGAUUAUCUUUGUCCACAGUGUUUGGUGUGUGUUUGUGGGGUGUGUCAGGUGAUUUUCCUGCCCGAAGCCUGCUGGGUGCUCCAGGUACUAGCGAUUGCUCACAGCAGAGCAGUAGCCCCCUCCCUGGUUGGACAACUGUCUGUGGAGACAACACCGGAUGGCAAACUGCUAACCGCAACCACGUGGCGUCCUUACAGAGGGAACAGCCUGUUCCUCCCGCUGAGGGCACCUGCAGACCUGCCCCAUUCAUGGCUCCCUUCUCCCUCAGUCCCUGCUGAGGGGAUGGUCCCUUCCCACCCUUAAGGGCACCAUGGACUGUUGUCCAAGUUGAGAACUGUCCAACUGCAGGGGGCACCAUUCACUUGGCAGUCUUCGUGCCAGAUGCUAUGGCUGUCCACAGUGGCCCUGCCCCUUCCCUUUUGUAAAUUACUUCUCAGUUCCCUCCUCCACCAGAAUUAUCACACCAAACUUUCCCCCAUGUAUGCUUGCUUCUUUAUCACCUGACACUCUCAUUCAUUCAUUCCACAAAAAAAUUGUGGCGUUUGUGCAAGGUACUAUUCUAGGCAAGGGAACAAGACAGACCCUCCUGGAGCUCAUGGAGUUCAUAUUCUAGCAUGGGGGAGAACCAAUAAAUAAAUAAUUGGAUACAUAAAACUGCAAGUGACAAUAAGUGCUACAAAGAAAACUAAAGCCAGCCCAGGAUAGAGGGUGAUAGUGCCCUACUUCAGCUAGGACUGCCAGAAAGGCUUCUCUGUGGGGAGGUGGCCUCUGAGGGGAGACCUGGAGGCAGCAAAGGAGGAAGCCUUCCCGGCAGAGCCCCUCCCAUUGGCACCCAAUGCCAAAAGAAGUUUCUAUAACCCGUCCUGGUUCUGCCAGGAGCCUGCGGCAUGGCCUGGGGCGCUCAAUUCCCAGUGCAGGGUGUCUAUUUCUUCCCCCAACAAACAAGAGGCCUAGUCGCAUAGUCUCUUCCAGCAC
rnacentral:lncRNA from 1 species